AAUGACCUCAAAGGACCCUUCCAGCUCCAGAGCUCUCUGUGAGGCCAGUCACGGUUACAGCGGGCAUGGGUGGCACCUCCUCCCCGUGCUUAUCCGACCCGCUUCCUUUGCUCUCUUCCACAGGUGUUGGUCCUAGAGGCACUUCUUAAUAAACAUCUUGUGCACUGAACGCUGUCAGCCUCCUGGGAAAGCCAACCUGUGGGGCAAGUUGGGCUCAUACAUGCCCAGAUGGCAUAAAGCACCUAGUAGGCUUUCAAUCAAUACUGGAUGGGAAGAACCCAGGCCCGGGCAUUGCUAGUCCUGACUCUUCACAACUAACAGUAUACAAAUAGCAGCUAAUGUUUAUUCAGAGGCGGGAAUGAAAUGCAAGGGACUCGUGACUGGCAAGCGGUAUGACGGUGGUGGGACUUGGACCCGCACAGUUUGGUACUCAAGCCCCUCCUUGGAUCAUCACUAUGCUCUACCAUUUUUCUGAAGGAAACCGAGGCUUAGAGUGUAAAGGGCCUUGUCCCUGGCAGCCCAUGGGUGGCUGCCAGAUCGACAGAUUCUACGGUCUGUGCUGCUUUCCUUGAGCUGAGAGAUCUCGGCCUGGAAGUGCUUCCUGGGGAAACCCGCAUUUAGAAGUCACUAGCCACCCAGAGAUAAUGUUCCCCAGAUCCGGCCGCUCUCCCCUGCCCCUCCCUACCUGUGUUCUUUUCGUGAGGCUUACACACCAGCCAAACCCAGCUUAAAAGGGACUCCUUUGUGAAGCUCUCCUCAGUGUCUGCUCCCCACCUUCUCCUUCACCAAGACCCCCUGAGGGAAGAAGACUGAAGGGCCACAGCCUCUGAGCCAUCAGAGUUUGGAAGUUCAUGCCUCAGCUGGCCACACAGAUGCGGGAAGGCAGAUGUUUGCAAGAUGAAUGAAUUUUAAAAAAGAUAGCAAAGCACAGAAUUAGCAGGCACCAUUCCAGGGCUGCAACUAAAUAUUUACCUUGCCCAUGGGGCAAUCCUGAGAGAUAAGCCAGGUUUUCCAGGCUCUAUUUAUGCUGAUUUUCCUUCUGUGACUGACACAAUCAACCUGGUUUUGUUACAGUUUGAACAGCUGUUUCCACAUGUAGGGCCUGGGUAUAGGAGAUACUUGAUCCUGGGCUUUAACUGUUCCCUGACAUUGUGUGUGGAAUUUGCUUCCCGAUCCUGACCUCAGCUGACUGUGCCUCUCCGUUCUGUGGGCCUGGACGGGCCACAACCUCCAUAAGGCUGUAAGUCAAAUCGGAUCUUCUCUCUAGUUUAAGUUGUGGGUUCAUGUGCAGCCUUGGGGUUAACAGCUCUCUCCGGAGCUGCUUGGAGUAUGUGGGACAGGCUUGCCUCGGUCUACUGCCUGAGUGGUCACCUGCGAGACACUUCUUAAGGGAAAGGGGCCGGCUAUGGCAUGCUGGGUCCAAGUAUAAGGUCAUAGGGGAGGAGGACUUGGAGUUCAGUGUGGCAUUUAUUAGUCAGCCUCUGGGUUUCACAGUGGGGUCUGUUAGAAAGAAAACCUCAGGCCCAAAAUGGAGUCACUUAUGUCAAUGUCAGCAAACCAAGACUUAAUAUCUAACCUAACUGCAGUUUCACGUCUCCCAGGAAUGUAACCUUUAGCCAGUCAACCUGGAAUUUCCUGCUCAGCACUGGGAAAUUUACUGAUAGACCCCUUUCGUUGACCUUAGGAAGGUCACCUUGCCAAAACAAUGCAAUUCUUUUGGUAAUGAUUUCCUUUCUGUUCCCUUUCUGCCUUUAAAACCCUUUUAUUUCCUGCAGCUCCAUGGGUCUCCCCUCUCCUUGCUAGAUGGGAUGCUGCCUGAUUCAUGAAUCAAUUAAUAAAGCCAGUUAGAUUUUUAAAACUUA